AAGACGAACUCCGCGAUUGGGACUAAGUCGUAACAAGGUAGCCGUAGGGGAACCUGCGGCUGGAUCACCUCCUUU
rnacentral:rRNA from 1 species